GUCACAACUUGUCAAUCACAAGUAGUGCAACGUCAUGCAUACUCUGCUUCAUUGUCAGUACUGGCACAAGGUCCACAGAGACUUUGGUAAGGAAUGGGAGAGUUGUCUGUUCCAGUCCUGGUUCAGACCAAUGUCUGGUAUUUGGGACUAGUUGCUGGUGAGUCGCCCCCAUUUGGCCAUUAGAGAAAUUGUGGUUUAAGACACUUGUGCGUUGGCUUUACUUGACACCAAGAGGCUUUGUUUGUUUCUUAUUCAGAAUACGCUCCCAGUACAGGAAGAAAGACAUGUUGAAAACAUGUGGCUCCUUCAGGCCCCUCCCUCAUCUCCACCCAGCAGUAGCAGCCUUGUUUUGAUGUGGUGACCUGACUGUUGAGCACAGGUGCUCCCAGCUGUUGCCACAAGGUCUUUUUUACUUGCUGUAACCCGAGGACAGGUGGCAGCUUUUAAGACUGCGUCUGAGGUAGCAAACUGGCAGGUUUAGCCAUCACCAUCCCGCAGGCCUGUUCUGCUCUCUCAGCACACUGACGGCUGAGUAAGCUCCACCAGUGUGGCACAGUGUCCCACCAACACCUGUCCCUUUAUACCUUCUCCCCCCCCAAAACCAGCAGAACUUUCUUAUAGGCACACUGCUUUAGAUCCCUCUUCCAAGGUCCCUGUUUUUGCUUCUGCCCUCUUUCAACGCCUUUCAUUUUCUCCAAAGGUGGAUCAAAGAGGAGAGGUCUGUGGAGGCGUAUGGAACCAGACUCAGAGUCAACAAGAGGCUUUUUCUGCCUUUUUCUGCUUCUGACUUAGCCAGCGUUUAAUGUGGAAAAAAGUCCCUUUCCAUCAUUCUGAACCACAACAAGUCCUCAAUCCAAACUCGUCAGAUAUGACAGCUUGGUCAGAGGCCUAAGGCUUCAAAGUGUGACAUUGAAGGUACACUUUUUCAGUCGAGUUAGCAGUGACCAAUAAGACAUUUCAGGUUUCAUUUAGGAAAUAAAAAUUUCAAGUAAGCAAUGUCCUGUUAGACGAUCAGAUGAAACGUCAAUGACAAGCAUGUCACAUUUUAUGAGUUGCUCGCUCCCUUAUCAUUAACUCAUGAUUAAAAAUGCAGUAGAGUCAAAGUUUGUUUGGAUUAGAAAUCUGUAUAGUUUGGGAUUUUUAGGAAAUCAACUUUUUUUAAAUAAGUAGACGUAUUUUUGACCCACCAGAAGCCCCCGACCACCGCUGCAAACAGACUUCAGUGCUCUUAAUAAUGUGUCACCUUUCUCUAACAGCGCUUAAAAACAUGACAACAGCCAGGGAUGAUGCUAGAGUAGUACCAUAAGUGUCAUUUUAAGCGUUGUGCCUGUGAACAAGCUGCAGUGUUUGGUAGUAACAACUGUAAUAAAUUACAGUAGUCAUCGAAAACAGGUGCAUGUAUUUUCUGCAAUGCCCCCCUCCCUACAACGUAUAACAGUUAAGCCAACAUUAUAUAUAACCAGCUCAUCAGUUCCCUCUGAUAUUGUACCUGAUGUCUCCCUCUCAUCCCUCUCUCUGUCCUCGCCCUCCUUCCAUCUCUGCCUCCUACACCGGGCGCCGGGCCAGAGGUGCUAAACAGCGCCUUAACCUGGUGUCUGAGCCUCGACUCAUCCUUUAUUCAUUCCCAUUAAAGGAGCAUGAGAGUUGUUCUCUGCCUGUAGUCGCUGCUGUUCCCCACCUCCAUUAAAAAGACAAACGGUCACAGUGUGAGUGUACCUGCCUAGUCUUCCGCACAUAACUAAUAGGUGUGCGUUGAUCAAAUAUGCAUGCUGGGUCUCUCCUGAUACCUGUGAGUCCUGUAAGUCAAGUCGGGUUAAGUCUUGUGUAGCAUUUCUCUGAUGUCUUAACGUUGUUUCAAGACAUUUCUAAAGCUGAGUGUGUCUUUAAAUGUUUUUUGUUAGAAGAAUGAGAUUACAACUCACGCUUAAUUAGUUCAUACCCCUGAUUGGUCUGCAGGUGUUUUCUUGUGAUUUUGUAAAUUUGGUCUCAUGCUACUUUCACAGUUACAUAAAAGGUGGU